AAUGUUCUGAAAACCGGUUCGAACCGACCGGUCGAACUGGUCGAACCGUGAACCGGACACUAAAGUGGUUUGGUCAACAAAGAAAACCGCAGAAUUUGAUAACCGGCAUUGAACCGACGAACCGGCCGGUUACCGGUCGGUCGAACCGAACAGGGACCCGGCCGGUUUUUUAAGCUGCCAGCAAAACGUCGUCGUUUUGCAAUGUAGGAACCCUAAUUCCCUUUUCUCCUUCGUCACUUCGUGCUUCGCCUUCACUCCAGCCUCCAGCGUCCCAGUCCCACACUCCCACUCCCACAGCACAACACCGACGAGGCCACGAGGCCACGACCCACCACGACCCACCGGCCACCACUGUGAGAGACAGAACGCCUGAAGCACUCAACGCACCAACCUCCGUCGCGCCCUCAGCAGCGUCGCGCCCUCAGCAGCGUCAGCACGGUCAGCGCCCUCAGCCACUUCGCCGUCAGCGUCUGCCUCUGAGAGAAAGCAAUAGAGAAGCGUCAGCACUCAGCAGCGUUGAAGAACUGAAGUCCUCAUUUCCAGAUGUCAAUUUUCCAGUU